GAGCGGCGGACGGCUGAGUAACGCGUAGGAACAUACCCCAAAGUGAGGAAUAACUGCCCGAAAGGGUGGCUAAUGCCGCAUGUGGUCUUCGGACUAAAGCUUUAUGCGCUUUGGGAAUGGCCUGCGUUCGAUUAGCUAGUUGGUGAGGUAAAUGCUCACCAAGGCGAUGAUCGAUAGCUGGUCUGAGAGGAUGACCAGCCAGACUGGAACUGAGACACGGUCCAGACUCC
rnacentral:rRNA from 1 species